rnacentral:rRNA from 1 species
GACAGAGGGUGCAAACGUUGUUCGGAAUUACUGGGCGUAAAGCGAGUGUAGGCGGUUCGAUAAGUCGGAUGUGAAAGCCCCCGGGCUCAACCCGGGAAGUGCACUCGAUACUGUCGAGCUAGAGUAUCGGAGAGGUUGGUGGAAUUCUCGGUGUAGAGGUGAAAUUCGUAGAUAUCGAGAGGAACACCGGUGGCGAAGGCGGCCAACUGGACGAAUACUGACGCUGAGGUGCGAAAGCGUGGGGAGCAAACAGG